rnacentral:rRNA from 1 species
UGAGCCAAGUUUAGGGUUUUCUCAAAACCCAAGCAGUAUUGAACUGAAGAGUUUGAUCAUGGCUCAGAUUGAACGCUGGCGGCAGGCCUAACACAUGCAAGUCGAGCGGAUGAAGGGAGCUUGCUCCUGGAUUCAGCGGCGGACGGGUGAGUAAUGCCUAGGAAUCUGCCUGGU